rnacentral:lncRNA from 1 species
CCUUCCCUCUUUCUGCUUGGUACUUAUUGAUGUCUGGAAAGGGGACGGGAUGGCUGGAGCAUUUUUGGUGAUGGUCUUUCUAAAAAAGCUUGACCAAAAAUAAAUUUUCCUUAAACGAUCUCAUUAACUUAGACACUUCCCAACAUGGAUUAGUCUUGAUCAAUAAACAGAAUAUUCAACUUUCUAUUUUACAUAAAAGGAAAACAUUUUCUUAGAGCACUCUUUUUCUAGGUGAUUGAAACAAGUAAAGCUCUCUGAUUCUAGAUCUGAUUUUAGAUUCCACUCAUAAUGACCUUCUCUCCUGCUCGAUAAAGUUUCUAUGCGCAAGGAGGGAGGAGGAAAGCCUUUUAGAAGUGAUUGGUGUACACUGUAACAAUAUUCAAAGGAUAUUCAAAGUUAUCAAAUGAAAAGAAACACUUCCUAGGUAUCACCAGAAUUGAACUUCCAUGCUCCACAGUAAUCAAAGUUUACUAAUUUUGUGAUUGUUUAAAACUGUUUUGUGAUAAUUUUUAUAUUUCAAAAUAAUACCUUGGUGUUCCUGAUUCUUGACCAGUCAACUUAAGAUGCUAUCUGUUGUCUACCCAUUAUAAAAGAGGAGAAAUUUUGCCUUAAAAUUUAUUUGUUUUGAAGCACUUUUUUUUGCAUUAUUAUAUUUGGGUUUUAAAAACUUUGCUAACACACAGUGAUAUUCUCCUACAUUUUGUUCUAUUAAUUUUACAUUUCAUUUUUAUGUGUUUACUCUCCCUAGGAUUCACAUUGUAUUGGGUGGGGUAGUUGUUCAAUUGAGUUAGAGCAUUCUUUUUUUCCAUAUUUUUCAUUACCAUCUACUGAGUAGUCUCUCUCCUCUUAUUUGUUUUUUUAAUCAUACUAUUUUUAUUAUUCCCAGAAAGCAUAAUUUAUUUAAUUCACAAUACACAAACAAACAUACUCACAGGUUACAUUUUAUUUUGAAACUACAUAAUCUAAAUCUUUUACUGUCAUGUAUGUAAUACAUUAUUCUCAUUAUUAUCUAGUUAUUGAAUUAAAAUUUAAAAAAAUUUUUAUUUCUGUAGGUUUUGGGGAAACAGGUGGUAUUUGGUUACAUGAGUAAAUUAUUUAGUGGUGGUUUGUGAGAUUUUGGUGCACUUAUCACCCGAGCAGUAAACACUGAACCCAGUUUGUAGUCUUUUGUCCUUAACCCCCCACCACUCUUUCCUCCAAGUCCCCAAAGUCCAUUGUAUUAUUCUUAUAACUUUGUAUUCUCAUAGCUUAGCUCUCACUUAUGAGUGAGAAGAUACGAUGUUUGGUUUUCUGUUCCUGAGUUACUUCACUUAUCCCUCCAUCCAUUC